UACGAAGGGGGCUAGCGUUGCUCGGAAUCACUGGGCGUAAAGCGCACGUAGGCGGAUUGUUAAGUCAGGGGUGAAAUCCUGGAGCUCAACUCCAGAACUGCCUUUGAUACUGGCGAUCUCGAGUCCGGGAGAGGUGAGUGGAACUGCGAGUGUAGAGGUGAAAUUCGUAGAUAUUCGCAAGAACACCAGUGGCGAAGGCGGCUCACUGGCCCAGUACUGACGCUGAGGUGCGAAAGCGUGGGGAGCAAACAGG
rnacentral:rRNA from 1 species